UUUAAAUUAAUUUUUAAAUAAAUGAAUGCUUCCACAUCCCCAUUUAAUAAGUCCAGAAAUAGAUGGUUGCUCGUGUUGAUUCAGUAGCUCAAUGAUGCCAUAUAAUGUGUUGCAAUUGUAUCAUUGUUAUAUUUUCUUCUUUCUUUUUUUUUUUUUUUUUUUCCGAGACGGAGUUUUGCUCUUGUUACGCAAGCGGGAGUGCAAUGGCGCGAUCUCGGCUCACCGCAACCUCCGCCUCCUGGGUUCAGGCAAUUCUUCUGCCUCAGCCUCCCGAGUAGCUGGGAUUACAGGGGAUGAGGGUGACUACAUUGAGCUUUCCUCGACAAACUGCAGAACUGAAACAUGCUCAUUUGCCAUCCUUGGUGACGUUUGGAAGAGGGUGUUAGGAAGAAAAUGAAAUGGUUUGGAGAAGUUGAUUCACUAAGAUGUAGUUCUAGAUUUCCCUUAAUCUUGACAUCUUGACAUGUAUAAAACUAAACUAAGAGACACUGGGACAGAGUUUGAGAGGAAGUUUGUGAGGAGAGCUCUGGAGGUCAGCAAUUACUUGAUGUAAAGGAAGCGUGAAUGACAGAAGAAGAAGCUCGAACGUGAUGCAGUCACGGGAAAAUCCCAAGCUGAUUGCACAGAGAACUCUGAGCUGGCAUGGUUCCAGAUCCAGAAAAGGUGUCUGGGUAUGUAUACCCCGGCAUCAACCAGAGUUUGAACUCAGGUUGCCAUCAAGAAAAGGAUGUAACUUUGGGCAAGAUGUCCUCUUCAGACUAGGAUAAUUUCUGGAGUGAAUGAUUGUAAUUUGUCAAUUGGCAACUUUUGAAAUCACUGAGGAAAUGAAUGCUUUUCUCCUGAAAAGGAUGAGAGUAAUCUAGUGCAUAACUUGUUCUCUCUAACGUAAUUCCUGGUUCAGUUAAUAGCAUGAUUAUGAUAAAAAGAGCUAUAAACAAGAAAGUACCCCCCCUUCCUUAACUGUCCCCUGUUAUUGUAAUUUGAACCAAAACUGCUUCAACUGUACCCUUCAUAAUUUACUUUGGAAAAUUUCUCUUAACUAUUUCAGUUUCAUUACUGUGCCAAUCUCUCUGAGAAUUCUCUUGCCAAGACCUUCAUCAACAUCAUGGUUAUACACGUUUGGAUUUAGAUGAACUUGUCUACUCACCAUGUUGCUACUAGUAAUUGUUGAAAUACAUAAAAAGGAAUUCAUUUUUUGUAAAUAAAAUUAUAGUAAUAAGCAAGUUAUGUAACAUACAUCUGUCAACUUUCCUGGUUAACUGAAAAGCUUCCAGCCUCUAACAAGAU
rnacentral:lncRNA from 1 species